UACGUAGGGUGCGAGCGUUGUCCGGAAUUACUGGGCGUAAAGAGCUCGUAGGUGGUUUGUUGCGUUGUUCGUGAAAACUCACAGCUCAACUGUGGGCGUGCGGGCGAUACGGGCAGACUGGAGUACUGCAGGGGAGACUGGAAUUCCUGGUGUAGCGGUGGAAUGCGCAGAUAUCAGGAGGAACACCGGUGGCGAAGGCGGGUCUCUGGGCAGUAACUGACGCUGAGGAGCGAAAGCGUGGGGAGCGAACCGG
rnacentral:rRNA from 1 species